AUUCCUACGGGAGGCAGCAGUGGGGAAUAUUGCACAAUGGGGGAAACCCUGAUGCAGCCAUGCCGCGUGUGUGAAGAAGGCCUUCGGGUUGUAAAGCACUUUCAGCGAGGAGGAAAGGUUGAUGCCUAAUACGUAUCAGCUGUGACGUUACUCGCAGAAGAAGCACCGGCUAACUCCGUGCCAGCAGCCGCGGUAAUAAU
rnacentral:rRNA from 1 species